CUUCACCGUGUUACCGACAAUGGGAAGCUGGUCAACCUGACAAUUAUCAAGGCAACGAAAAUUGUGGGCACAUUCGCUAUCAUGGAUCUUGGAAUGAUUUGCCCUGUGCUGAAACACAUGGUUUUGUUUGUUCCUACAAACUGCCCUGUGAUUAGAAGACUCCAGAAUGAUCCACUCAUCCUUUCCAGCAGUGGAUCCAAUGCUUUGAUUUCUUUGUAGCCGCUCUCACUGUCUGUGGUGACUGUACUCACUGAGCUUCUCAGCCAAUAAUAAAGAGAACUGCAUCA